rnacentral:misc_RNA from 1 species
AACUUUUAACAACGGAUCUCUUGGCUCUCGCAUCGAUGAAGAACGCAGCGAAAUGCGAUAAGUAAUGUGAAUUGCAGAAUUCACUGAAUCAUCGAAUCUUUGAACGCAUCUUGCGCUCCUUGGUAUUCUGAGGAGCAUGCCUGUUUGAGUGUCAUUAAAUUCUCAACUACACUGACUUGGUGUGGCUUGGAUUUGGGGGUUGUGGGCUUUUUGUAGUCUGCUCCCCUGAAAUUAAUUAGCGGUACCUUGGUGGAACUGUCUACAGGUGUGAUAAUUAUCUACAUCCUAGACGUCUGCUGGAAUGCUGCUUUCUAGACCUUACUUGUAUUGACAAUCUUGACCUCAAAUCAGGUAGGACUACCCGCUGAACUUAAGCAUAUCAAUAAGCGGAGGCU